UUACUAGUUGGCAGACCAUUUAGGAAGAGUUAAGAUGUGUAGUCUUGUUGGUUGAGGUAUGUCCCUGAAAAUGAGCUUUGAAGUUUCAGAAGCUUAAGUCGGUAUUAGUUUUUCACUCUUUGCCUCCUUCUUGGGAAUCAGAUGUGAAAUCUUAGCUACUGUUCCCGUGCCAGGCCUGCCUAGCUGCUGCCAUUCUUCCCACAAUGACUUUCAGGGAGUCAACUAUUGACACAGAGAGCGGGCUACAAGUAAAUAUGUCUACAUAUGAAGAUACACCUUCAAGGUCCAGGCCUGACAAAUACCCCACAACCCAGUUUCUUCCACUCUGUGAGAGUUUCCUGAGCUCUCAGAGGAGGAAUUUAAUGGAGACACCUCCAUUAGAACUGAAGAUUCUUCAAAUAAUGUCUGGCUGUGGGUUUCUGCAUUUAUUCCCAUCUGCUGCAGGUUUUCUCUGUCACUGUCACUAUGAGUUAUGACUAAAAUGUGCAUUUCAGGUCUAACUGAACAGGCUGUAAGAUUCCAGUUUGGCAGCAGAAAAAUACUCGGCUCAUCUGGGUUGCUUGUUUUUCUCUCGUGAGUAAUUUCUACA